rnacentral:rRNA from 1 species
UACGGAGGGUGCAAGCGUUAUCCGGAUUCACUGGGUUUAAAGGGUGCGUAGGCGGGCAGGUAAGUCCGUGGUGAAAUCUCUGAGCUUAACUCAGAAACUGCCAUGGAUACUAUUUGUCUUGAAUAUUGUGGAGGUGAGCGGAAUAUGUCAUGUAGCGGUGAAAUGCUUAGAUAUGACAUAGAACACCAAUUGCGAAGGCAGCUCACUACACAAUUAUUGACGCUGAGGCACGAAAGCGUGGGGAUCAAACCGG